rnacentral:rRNA from 1 species
GUCGAGCGGACAGAUGGGAGCUUGCUCCCUGAUGUUAGCGGCGGACGGGUGAGUAACACGUGGGUAACCUGCCUGUAAGACUGGGAUAACUCCGGGAAACCGGGGCUAAUACCGGAUGCUUGUUUGAACCGCAUGGUUCAAACAUAAAAGGUGGCUUCGGCUACCACUUACAGAUGGACCCGCGGCGCAUUAGCUAGUUGGUGAGGUAAUGGCUCACCAAGGCAACGAUGCGUAGCCGACCUGAGAGGGUGAUCGGCCACACUGGGACUGAGACACGGCCCAGACUCCUACGGGAGGCAGCAGUAGGGAAUCUUCCGCAAUGGACGAAAGUCUGACGGAGCAACGCCGCGUGAGUGAUGAAGGUUUUCGGAUCGUAAAGCUCUGUUGUUAGGGAAGAACAAGUACCGUUCGAAUAGGGCGGUACCUUGACGGUACCUAACCAGAAAGCCACGGCUAACUACGUGCCAGCAGCCGCGGUAAUACGUAGGUGGCAAGCGUUGUCCGGAAUUAUUGGGCGUAAAGGGCUCGCAGGCGGUUCCUUAAGUCUGAUGUGAAAGCCCCCGGCUCAACCGGGGAGGGUCAUUGGAAACUGGGGAACUUGAGUGCAGAAGAGGAGAGUGGAAUUCCACGUGUAGCGGUGAAAUGCGUAGAGAUGUGGAACACACACCAGUGGCGAAGGCCGACUCUC